rnacentral:lncRNA from 1 species
GGCACCCGCUUAGCCCUAUGUUUUCCGCUAUUAGUGUAUUCGUGUGAUUUGGCCUUAGGCCCUGUCUUGUGAACUUGACCCUUCGGUCACUUGUUGUAAUAAAUUUUACUUGGAUGUAAGACUCUUUAUUCAGUAUCUGUGUUCGGUGAGCAUUGAUCUCUUGGAUCACUGAGCGGGGUGAUUCUCAACUAGUAAGUCGGGGUCCCCACAGGGUCGCGCUCGUGCCUCCUGCUUUAGUGACGGCCCGCGUGGUCUCUGCCGUUGCCCGUAGAUGUGUCGAUGAGCAAUCAACCGGCCUUCAUCAAACCAACGCAAUCAUGAAAGGUGGUCUAGCUGCAAGGUAUAUGUUUGCCCUCGAUAGGUUUUCUAUUUUAGGAUAGAUUGUCGUACUGUCAAGGGGGCUCUCAAGUG